ACGGUCCUAAGGUAGCGAAAUUCCUUGUCGGGUAAGUUCCGACCCGCACGAAAGGUGUAACGAUUUGGGCACUGUCUCAACGAGGGACCCGGUGAAAUUGAAAUACCUGUGAAGAUGCAGGUUACCCGCGACUGGACAGAAAGACCCCAUGGAGCUUUACUGUAACCUGACAUUGGGUUUUGUUGUAUUACGUACAGGAUAGGUGGGAGGCUUGGAAGGCUGGACGCUAGUCUGGCUGGAGCCGGCGUUGGGAUACCACCCUUGAUACAACGGAAUUCUAACCGAGAGAGUAACGAAAUCCGGGACAGUGUCAGGCGGGCAGUUUGACUGGGGCGGUCGCCUCCGAAAGAGUAACGGAGGCGCCCAAAGGUUCCCUCAGCGCGGCCGGAAAUCGCGCGAAGAGUGUAAAGGCAGAAGGGAGCUUGACUGCGAGCCAAACACGGCGAGCAGGUACGAAAGUAGGGCUUAGUGAUCCGGUGGUACCGAGUGGAAGGGCCAUCGCUCAACGGAUAAAAGCUACCCUGGGGAUAACAGGCUAAUCUCUCCCAAGAGUCCAUAUCGACGGGGAGGUUUGGCACCUCGAUGUCGGCUCAUCACAUCCUGGGGCUGAAGUCGGUCCCAAGGGUUGGGCUGUUCGCCCAUUAAAGUGGUACGUGAGCUGGGUUCAGAACGUCGUGAGACAGUUCGGUCCCUAUCCAUCGCGGGCGCAAGAGAUUUGAAGGGGUCUGCUCCUAGUACGAGAGGACCGGAGUGGACGGACCGCUGGUGUACCAGUUAUUCCGCCAGGAGUACAGCUGGGUAGCUACGUCCGGACUGGAUAAACGCUGAAAGCAUCUAAGCGUGAAGCCAUCCUUAAGAUGAGAUCUCUCACAGAGAAAUCUGGUAAGACACCUUAAAGAAGAUGAGGUAGAUAGGCCGGGAGUGUAAGUGCAGCAAUGUAUUGAGCUGACCGGUACUAAUAUGUCGAGGGCUUGACUUC
rnacentral:rRNA from 1 species